rnacentral:rRNA from 1 species
AUUGAACGCUGGCGGCAGGCCUAACACAUGCAAGUCGAACGAGUGGCGGACGGGUGAGUAAUGUCUGGGAAACUGCCCGAUGGAGGGGGAUAACUACUGGAAACGGUAGCUAAUACCGCAUACCAUCGGAUGUGCCCAGAUGGGAUUAGCUAGUAGGUGGGGUAAAGGCUCACCUAGGCGACGAUCCCUAGCUGGUCUGAGAGGAUGACCGGCCACACUGGAACUGGGACACGGUCCAGACUCCUACGGGAGGCGGCGGUGGGAAAAAUGGCACAAUGGGAGCAAGCCUGAUGCAGCCAUGCCGGGGGUGUGAAGAAGGCCUUCGGGUUGAAAAGCACUUUCAGCGGGGAGGCGUUACCCGCAGAAGAAGCACCGGCUAACUCCGUGCCAGCAGCCGCGGUAAAC